rnacentral:misc_RNA from 1 species
GGAUGAAGAACGUAGCGAAAUGCGAUAAGUAGUGUGAAUUGCAGAAUUCAGUGAAUCAUCGAAUCUUUGAACGCACAUUGCGCCCCAUGGUAUUCCGUGGGGCAUGCCUGUUCGAGCGUCAUUUACCCCCUCAAGCUCCGCUUGGUGUUGGGCGUCUGUCCCGCUUCGCGCGCGGACUCGCCCCAAAGGUAUUGGCAGCGGUCGUGCCAGCUUCUCGCGCAGCACAUUGCGCUUCUCGAGGCACCGGUGGGCCCGCGUCCAUCAAGCUCACCCCCCCAGUUUGACCUCGGAUCAGGUAGGGAUACCCGCUGAACUUAAGCAUAUCAUAGCGGAGGA